UUGGCCUGCUGAGAUCUGAAGGUUAUGCUGUGACUCCAGUAGAAAUAUAGAGCUUUCAUGUAAGUCAUUGCAAUUCAGCAUGGAUAUGAAAAGUCUGAUAUAAUAACAGAGCCCAAGGGGCUGCAAGCUUCAAAGUACAGUUUGUUUAGAGUGCAAAUUCCAGAUGGGGCUAAGGGACUAUCCAAGAAGUGGGAAAGCAACGGCUGAGCCCUAGAAUGUGGAAACUCCCAGCAAUAGCUCAGGAAAAGAGGAAGGAAAAGGCUGCAGAGACAAUCGAUGCUGUUGAAGUCCCUUCACUCACUCGGCUUCGUGACAGAGGAGCAAACAGAAUCUGACUCCUAAGGUAUUGGUUUGUCAGCACUUCUGAAAGGCCAGGGGCAUGUUUGAAGAAGGGGUAAGGACUGAACCCUGAGCAGCAGCACUCAUGCUAUGAAAGCAUAAUUUGCUUCCAAACAACCCUUGAACUGAGCCUUUCCCUGUGUGUUAUAAAGGGGUCUUUCAAGGAGCAGCAACCAACGUUCCUCAGCCCCUAAACCUGCAGCAUCCAGGAAUGGCAAUGAGAAGCUCAGUGGAAAGAGUUGGUUUUGAUGGAAACAGAAGCAUAUUGCUGGCCCCUCUGAUUUCAGUGCCUUAUUGAGGGGCUUCUUGAUGCUGCUGCUUAAAGAUGCAAGGGAAAAUUGGCUUUUAACAUACACAAGAAACUUCCUAUUCAGAUUGUUAUUCACUGGCCUUUCACCUCAUGUCCUGUCUGGGCAAAAGCCCUGUUAUCAGCCAAAACAGGGAAAUACGAUGCUAUAUUCUGAAUCACAAUAUCCCUUGACUGUCACAGUUAAGGAUCUUAGCCAUCCUUAUCAAUCCUAUUAUCAAGAUCUGCUAUUGUGCCAGGUUUUGCCCAUAUGAAUCUGUUUGUGUCUGCAAGCAAAGACUUCAGUA